rnacentral:sRNA from 12 species
GACCUUGCCCCAAGGCAGAAAAUUCACUUAUCUAGAUUAGCUGGUAGAUGAUGACAAUAGGGUCAUCCGGUCGAAGGUUAGGACUCUUAAUUAAGCAGACAA